UUUCCGUAGGUGAACCUGCGGAAGGAUCAUUCCUAAUAUGUGGCUUAUGGCACUUUUUUACAUCCAUAUCCACCUUGUGUGCAAUGUCAGCGUUGAUGUUUCUCUCGAGAGGAGCAACCCCAAACAUAAACUAUAUAUCAACUCUUUGUCUGAAAAAUAUUAUGAAUAAAACAAUUCAAAAUACAACUUUCAACAACGGAUCUCUUGGCUCUC
rnacentral:misc_RNA from 1 species